UACGUAGGGUGCAAGCGUUAAUCGGAAUUACUGGGCGUAAAGCGUGCGCAGGCGGUUUUGUAAGGCAGAGGUGAAAUCCCCGGGCUUAACCUGGGAACUGCGUUUGAAACUACAAGGCUAGAGUGUGGCAGAGGGGGGUGGAAUUCCACGUGUAGCAGUGAAAUGCGUAGAGAUGUGGAGGAACACCGAUGGCGAAGGCAGCCCCCUGGGUUAACACUGACGCUCAGGCACGAAAGCGUGGGGAGCAAACAGG
rnacentral:rRNA from 1 species